rnacentral:rRNA from 1 species
UGAACGUUGGCGGCGUGCUUAAUACAUGCAAGUCGAACGAGGAACCAUGUACUCGUAUAUGGAUUUCCUAGUGGCGAACGGGUGAGUAACGCGUUGGUGACCUGCCCCGAAGAGGGGGAUAACAAUUCGAAAGAAUUGCUAAUACCCCAUAAUAUCAAUAGGAUUAGAGGCCUUAUGAUUAAAGGAGUAAUCCGCUUCGGGAGGGGCCUGCGUCCCAUCAGCUAGUUGGUAGGGUAAUGGCCUACCAAGGCGACGACGGGUAGGGGGCCUGAGAGGGUGGCCCCCCACAAUGGUACUGAAACACGGACCAUACAUCUACGGAUGGCAGCAGUAGGGAAUAUUGCCCAAUGGACGAAAGUCUGAGGCAGCAACGCCGCGUGUGCGAUGAAGGCCUUCGGGUUGUAAAGCACUUUUACGUGGGAAGAGAAAGGACGGUACCACGUGAAUAAGGAUCGGCCAACUAC